GAGCGGGAAAAGCUCAAAUUUAAAAUCUGGCGGUCAUGCCGUCCGAGUUGUAAUCUGGAGAAGCGUUUUCCGCGUCGGACCGUGUACAAGUCUUCUGGAACGGAGCGUCAUAGAGGGUGAGAAUCCCGUCUCUGACACGGACUGCCGAUGCUUUUGUGAUGCGCUCUCGAAGAGUCGAGUUGUUUGGGAAUGCAGCUCAAAAUGGGAGGUAAAUUCCUUCUAAAGCUAAAUAUUGGCUAGAGACCGAUAGCGAACAAGUACCGUGAGGGAAAGAUGAAAAGCACUUUGGAAAGAGAGUUAAACAGUACGUGAAAUUGUUGAAAGGGAAACGCUUGAAGUCAGUCGCGUUGGCCGAGACUCAGCCUGGCUUGCCUGGUGUACUUCUCGGUCGACGGGUCAGCAUCAGUUUUGACCGCCGGAUAAAGGUUGGAGGAAUGUGGCAUCUCUCGGGAUGUGUUAUAGCCUCUGAUUCGCAUACGGCGAUUGGGACUGAGGAACUCAGCACGCCUUUACGGUCGGGGUUCGCCCACGCAACGUGCUUAGGAUGCUGGCAUAAUGGCUUUAAGCGACCCGUCUUGAAACACGGACCAAGGAGUCUAACAUGCCCGCGAGUGUUUGGGUGUCAAACCCGAGCGCGUAAUGAAAGUGAAAGUUGAGAUCCCUGUCGUGGGGAGC
rnacentral:rRNA from 1 species